AUUGAACGCUGGCGGAAUGCUUUACACAUGCAAGUCGAACGGCAGCACGGACUUCGGUCUGGUGGCGAGUGGCGAACAGGUGAGUAAUGUAUCGGAACGUGCCCAGUCGUGGGGGAUAACGUAGUGAAAAUUACGCUAAUACCGCAUACGAUCUAUGGAUGAAAGCGGGGGAUCGCAAGACCUCGCGCGAUUGGAGCGGCCGAUAUCAGAUUAGGUAGUUGGUGGGGUAAAGGCCCACCAAGCCAACGAUCUGUAGCUGGUCUGAGAGGACGACCAGCACCACUGGAACUGAGACACGGUCCAGACUCCUACGGGAGGCAGCAGUAGGGAAUUUUGGACAAUGGGCGAAAGCCUGAUCCAGCCAUUCCGCGUGCAGGAUGAAGGCCCUCGUGUUGUAAACUGCUUUUGUACAGAACGAAAAGGUUUCUACUAAUACUAGGAGCUCAUGACGGUACUGUAAGAAUAAGCACCGGCUAACUACGUGCCAGCCGCCGCCGUAA
rnacentral:rRNA from 1 species